GUCAAAAAAUUCCCCCCCCCCCCGGGAUUUUUGUGGUGGGCUGGAUUUUUCCCACAUUUUUGCCCCUUAGGGGGGCCCCUUAGAGUUUAAUCUGGCUCAGGACGAACGCCGGCCGCCUGCCUAAUACAUGCAAGUCGAGCGGACAGAUGGGAGCUUGCUCCCUGAUGUUAGCCGCCGACGGGUGAGUAACACGUGGGUAACCUGCCUGUAAGAAUGGGAUAAAUCCGGGAAACCGGGGCUAAUACCGGAUGCUUGAUUGAACCGCCUGGGUCAAUUAUAAAAGGUGGGUUUUAGCUACCACUUACAGAUGGACCCGCGGCGCAUUAGCUAGUUGGUGAGGUAACGGCUCACCAAGGCGACGAUGCGUAGCCGACCUGAGAGGGUGAUCGGCCACACUGGGACUGAGACACGGCCCAGACUCCUACGGGAGGCAGCAGUAGGGAAUCUUCCGCAAUGGACGAAAGUCUGACGGAGCAACGCCGCGUGAGUGAUGAAGGUUUUCGGAUCGUAAAACUCUGUUGUUAGGGAAGAACAAGUACCGUUCGAAUAGGGCGGUACCUUGACGGUACCUAACCAGAAAGCCACGGCUAACUACGUGCCAGCAGCCGCGGUAAUACGUAGGUGGCAAGCGUUGUCCGGAAUUAUUGGGCGUAAAGCGCGCGCAGGCGGUUUCUUAAGUCUGAUGUGAAAGCCCCCGGCUCAACCGGGGAGGGUCAUUGGAAACUGGGGAACUUGAGUGCAGAAGAGGAGAGUGGAAUUCCACGUGUAGCGGUGAAAUGCGUAGAGAUGUGGAGGAACACCAGUGGCGAAGGCGACUCUCUGGUCUGUAACUGACGCUGAGGCGCGAAAGCGUGGGGAGCGAACAGGAUUAGAUACCCUGGUAGUCCACGCCGUAAACGAUGAGUGCUAAGUGUUAGAGGGUUUCCGCCCCUUUAGUGCUGCAGCC
rnacentral:rRNA from 1 species